GACCAUAAUAAUCUCCACUUUACAGAUAAUCCCUUUCUGCAGAACCACAGCCUGGUCAGGUACCCACCAGCUCCUGAAGCCAGCUAAAGCAUACUCUCUCUAAGCCCAUUAUCUUUGCCCUGCUGUCAUUUUACCAUCCUUUCUUUUCCUAGGUCAGCAGCUUUCAUCCACCUCUGCCUGACAAAGAAUGGGGAGGAGACCCCUCUCC